AUUGGCUGCCUAAAUACCCUAAAAACAUCAGAUCCCAUCUGAACUUUGAAGCUAUGCUGCAUCAGUCCUGGUUAGCACUUGAAUGGGAGACCACCAAUGAAUACCAGGUGCUGUAGACA
rnacentral:rRNA from 1 species